AGUGAACGCUGGCGGCAGGCCUAAUACAUGCAAGUCGAACGGCAGCACAGUGGAGCUUGCUCCAUGGGUGGCGAGUGGCGGACGGGUGAGGAAUACAUGGGAAUCUGCCCAGUCGUGGGGGAUAACGUAGGGAAACUUACGCUAAUACCGCAUGCGCCCUUCGGGGGAAAGCCGGGGACCGUAAGGCCUGGCGCGAUUGGAUGAGCCCAUGUCGGAUUAGCUAGUUGGCGGGGUAACGGCCCACCAAGGCGACGAUCCGUAGCUGGUCUGAGAGGAUGAUCAGCCACACUGGAACUGAGACACGGUCCAGACUCCUACGGGAGGCAGCAGUAGGGAAUAUUGGACAAUGGGCGCAAGCCUGAUCCAGCCAUGCCGCGUGAGUGAAGAAGGCCCUCGGGUUGUAAAGCUCUUUUGUCCGGAAAGAAAAGCACUGGGUUAAUACCCCGGUGUCCUGACGGUACCGGAAGAAUAAGCACCGGCUAACUUCGUG
rnacentral:rRNA from 1 species